rnacentral:lncRNA from 12 species
CCGAAAUAUUCUUAGAGGAAGCUGAUUUGCAUCCAAAGUGCUUUAUAAAACGAGCCUUUAAAAGAAAACAGAGUAAGUAUAUGCAAAUAUUGUUCUUAGCAUACAAAAUAUUGCAGCUAUUAGUGCAGCGCGCUACCGCCUUCCUAAGUUUGCACAUAAAAUGUAGCCAAGCUUAUAAAAGAACCAUUUAGCUGCACUGAGGGUGCAGGAGGAAGAAAAUCAGCCGCAGCCGAGGUGGGUCAGGCACUGCACGGGCGAGUUCAGCAAAGCGGGGCGAGCGGCGGCCCCGGGGCGGCUGCCAGAGGACACCUGGCGGCGGCGGGCGGCUCCGGCCGGGGGCGCUCCCGGAGCCCCGCACCGGCCUCACGGGCACGGCGAGCGACGGCGCUGCUCACCCCGCUCCCCUUCUUCCUGCGCUGCUCACCCAGCCUCCCUUGGGUGCAGGAGAUGCGGCGUGCGACAGGAGACAAGGAGAGGAAAUUCAGCAGUUGCUGCACGGUCUGUGCUCGGAGUGAGAGGGACUCAUCGGAAGAAGCAGCCAGAGCCUUCUAGCACUGAGGAGCUGGUGAGGACGGAAAUCAGAGGCAAGCACUGCCUGCCAUACUCCGUGCACACUCACGCCUCUCCCGACCCCCUCUGUUUCCCUUUAUAUUUUCUGUCAUUUUGUCAUUUCAUUCCGUUUUAAAGGAAUGAACAUUCCAGGAGGGACAUUGCCUAUAACAGGACAAAGUGAAAAAGACACCGUUCCUUUCACUUGUGGUGUAUUUUUCUGAGGCUUUUUGUUAGGGCAAUAAUAUUAUUUCUGUGGUCACGUCAGUACAAAGACAGUCUGCUAUCUA